rnacentral:lncRNA from 1 species
UACCAGAGCCAAUCCCCAAAGCAAACACGCUAAAACAGUAUUGGAAAGUCUCAUUAUAUUUUGUGUUCAUAGACCACAUGAUAACGGAACUGGAGUCGCGUCUGAUAUCAUCAGGAAAUCGCUUCUAUGCGCAUUAUCUGCUUCCUCGUGUUGUCGGUAAUACAACAAACGAACAAAUCUCUGCAUUGUUAGACACAUACGAAACUGGCCUGGCAUAUAAUUUGUCAAAUUCAAUCGGGAGGUCGCUCGAUGGCGAACACGAGUGCUACCGCGAAGAGAUCGUUCAGUGUACUACAUCUGUUGAAAACAUAUAUAUGAUUAACCAUGAACAACUACAGCUCGGUUAUUAUCGCUAGCAUUACUGCAUUAUAUUCAUCGGGAUUUCAGUGUGAAUAUUGACAAAGUAAUAGAGACGUUCCCGAAGAGCAGAUUUUGGACAAUUUUGAGUAAAUUCUGAAUCACAAAAAUGUGUUGCUUACAUAUUCAAUUAAUCAUGCUUUACUCUAUUCAGAAGUCAAGAUUUCUAAAUAGUUUUGCAUUCAUGAAUUGUUUAUAACUCCAAUGUACGUCACAACAUGUAGCUCCUCUUUUAACCGUUCAAUGACCGAAAAACGAAAAAAAAAAAAAUCUGCAUAAAAGGGUCCCAAAAAUUU